CCCUACAUAAACAAAUACAUGGGCGCAGACAUUUUGGACACCCAAAGUUGUGCGGAGGAGAAAAUGCUACCUGGCGCGUGAUUGGUCAAUAAGAGAAAAGACUUGUUAUGUAUUUGACAAGUGAAAUAAAGUUGAUAAAAAUCUCAUAUCAAGACUUGGGUUUCUUUGAGAUAUAUAGGAGUAACAGGUAAAAAUUUGAAGGGAGGGGUGCUCUUUGGUUAGAGAUUUUCAGUUGGUGUCAAACGCACCUUGUUGUAAACAAAUGGAAAUUGAAAGUAAAAGUGCCGCGUGACCAUAUAUUUUUUCUGGCAUGUUUUGUUUUCCAAUAUCUCGAACUUUCACGACAAAAAGGUCAUUUGCCCGAAAUUCAAUAUAUGUAUCAGUGAGAGGGGCUCACGUUUGUAUGGAAGUCUAUGGGAAAACAUUUGGUGGUGUUUGUCCUAUAGAAAAGCAAUGCAUUAUCAAGAAGGAAGAGAUUAAUGAACCCUACCCUCUUACAAUGAACAACACAUGGACACUCUCGGGAUGAUCCCUUUGCUUUCAUUAAGAGUUCCAAGAUGUUGGUCUGAUUGACUGGGGUGUGAAAUGUAACAGCCAAUGGUGUACUUAAGCUAAGACUGUCAGUCCCAAUAUUCAAGAGGAAAAACCCCUACAUAAACAAAUACAUGGGCGCAGACAUUUUGGACACCCAAAGUUGUGCGGAGGAGAAAAUGCUACCUGGCGCGUGAUUGGUCAAUAAGAGAAAAGACUUGUUAUGUAUUUGACAAGUGAAAUAAAGUUGAUAAAAAUCUCA